rnacentral:rRNA from 1 species
AGAGUUUGAUCCUGGCUCAGGAUGAACGCUGGCGGCGUGCUUAACACAUGCAAGUCGAACGAGCCUUCGGGCUAGUGGCGGACGGGUGAGUAACGCGUGAGAAUCUGCCCUCAGGAGGGGGAUAACGGCUGGAAACGGCCGCUAAUACCCCAUAUGCCGCGAGGUGAAAUGAGAAAUCGCCUGAGGAUGAGCUCGCGUCUGAUUAGCUAGUUGGUGGGGUAAGAGCCUACCAAGGCAUCGAUCAGUAGCUGGUCUGAGAGGAUGAUCAGCCACACUGGGACUGAGACACGGCCCAGACUCCUACGGGAGGCAGCAGUGGGGAAUUUUCCGCAAUGGGCGCAAGCCUGACGGAGCAACGCCGCGUGAGGGAUGAAGGCCUCUGGGCUGUAAACCUCUUUUCUCAAGGAAGAAGAACUGACGGUACUUGAGGAAUAAGCCACGGCUAAUUCCGUGCCAGCAGCCGCGGUAAUACGGGAGCGGCAAGCGUUAUCCGGAAUUAUUGGGCGUAAAGCGUCCGCAGGCGGUCUUGAAAGUCUGUUGUUAAAGCGUGGAGCUCAACUCCAUUUCAGCAAUGGAAACUAGAAGACUAGAGUGUGGUAGGGGCAGAGGGAAUUCCCGGUGUAGCGGUGAAAUGCGUAGAUAUCGGGAAGAACACCAGUGGCGAAGGCGCUCUGCUGGGCCAUAACUGACGCUCAUGGACGAAAGCCAGGGGAGCGAAAGGGAUUAGAUACCCCUGUAGUCCUGGCCGUAAACGAUGAACACUAGGUGUCGGGGGAAUCGACCCCCUCGGUGUCGUAGCCAACGCGUUAAGUGUUCCGCCUGGGGAGUACGCACGCAAGUGUGAAACUCAAAGGAAUUGACGGGGGCCCGCACAAGCGGUGGAGUAUGUGGUUUAAUUCGAUGCAACGCGAAGAACCUUACCAGGGUUUGACAUCCUGCGAAUCUUUUGGAAACAGAAGAGUGCCUUCGGGAGCGCAGAGACAGGUGGUGCAUGGCUGUCGUCAGCUCGUGUCGUGAGAUGUUGGGUUAAGUCCCGCAACGAGCGCAACCCACGUCUUUAGUUGCCAGCAUUGAGUUGGGCACUCUAGAGAGACCGCCGGUGAUAAACCGGAGGGAGGUGUGGAUGACGUCAAGUCAUCAUGCCCCUUACAUCCUGGGCUACACACGUACUACAAUGCUACGGACAGAGGGCAGCAAACUCGCGAGAGCUAGCAAAUCCCAUAAACCGUGGCUCAGUUCAGAUCGUAGGCUGCAACUCGCCUACGUGAAGGAGGAAUCGCUAGUAAUCGCAGGUCAGCAUACUGCGGUGAAUACGUUCCCGGGCCUUGUACACACCGCCCGUCACACCAUGGAAGUUGGCCAUGCCCGAAGUCGUUACUCCAACCCUUGUGGAGGAGGACGCCGAAGGUGGGGCUGAUGACUGGGGU